rnacentral:rRNA from 1 species
CUUAAGCAUAUCAAUAAGCGGAGGAAAAGAAACCAACAGGGAUUGCCCUAGUAACGGCGAGUGAAGCGGCAACAGCUCAAAUUUGAAAUCUGGCCUUUCGGGUCCGAGUUGUAAUUUGUAGAGGAUGCUUUUGGCGCGGUGCCUUCCGAGUUCCCUGGAACGGGACGCCUUAGAGGGUGAGAGCCCCGUACGGUUGGACACCAAGCCUCUGUAAAGCUCCUUCGACGAGUCGAGUAGUUUGGGAAUGCUGCUCUAAAUGGGAGGUAAAUUUCUUCUAAAGCUAAAUAUUGGCCAGAGACCGAUAGCGCACAAGUAGAGUGAUCGAAAGAUGAAAAGCACUUUGAAAAGAGGGUUAAAUAGCACGUGAAAUUGUUGAAAGGGAAGCGUUUGCGACCAGACUUUUUCCUAGCGGAUCAUCCGGUGUUCUCACCGGUGCACUUUGCUAGGUUAAGGCCAGCAUCGGUUUCUGUAGGGGGAUAAAAGCUUGGGGAAUGUAGCUCCCUCGGGAGUGUUAUAGCCUCUUGCAUAAUACCCUUACGGGGACCGAGGACCGCGCUUUUGCAAGGAUGCUGGCGUAAUGGUUGUCAACGACCCGUCUUGAAACACGGACCAAGGAGUCGAACAUUUGUGCGAGUGUUUGGGUGUUAAACCCUCACGCGUAAUGAAAGUGAACGGAGGUGAGAGCCCUUACGGGUGCAUCAUCGACCGAUCCUGAUGUCUUCGGAUGGAUUUGAGUAAGAGCAUAACUGUUCGGACCCGAAAGAUGGUGAACUAUGCGUGGAUAGGGUGAAGCCAGAGGAAACUCUGGUGGAGGCUCGCAGCGGUUCUGACGUGCAAAUCGAUCGUCAAAUCUGCGCAUGGGGGCGAAAGACUUAUCGAACCAUCUAGUAGCUGGUUACCGCCGAAGUCUCCUCUCUCAGGUAAA